GAUUAGCCUGCGUCCGAUUAGCUAGUUGGUGGGGUAAGGGCCUACCAAGGCGACGAUCGGUAGCUGGUCUGAGAGGAUGGCCAGCCACACUGGAACUGAGACACGGUCCAGACUCCUACGGGAGGCAGCAGUGGGGAAUAUUGGACAAUGGGGGCAACCCUGAUCCAGCAAUGCCGCGUGUGUGAAGAAGGCCUGAGGGUUGUAAAGCACUUUCAGUUGGGAGGAGGAUUGAUAGGUUAAGAGCUGAUUGAUUGGACGUUACCCACAGAAGAAGCACCGGCUAACUCCGUGCCAGCAGCCGCGGUAAUACGGAGGGUGCGAGCGUUAAUCGGAAUUACUGGGCGUAAAGGGUGCGUAGGUGGUUGAUUAAGUUAUCUGUGAAAUUCCUGGGCUUAACCUGGGACGGUCAGAUAAUACUGGUUGACUCGAGUAUGGGAGAGGGUAGUGGAAUUUCCGGUGUAGCGGUGAAAUGCGUAGAGAUCGGAAGGAACACCAGUGGCGAAGGCGGCUACCUGGCCUAAUACUGACACUGAGGCACGAAAGCGUGGGGAGCAAACAGGAUUAGAUACCCUGGUAGUCCACGCUGUAAACGAUGUCAACUAGCUGUUGG
rnacentral:rRNA from 1 species